GUUCUCAGGCUGCGAAGAGUGGAGGAGAGGGCGGUGUUAUGCCCCGUUUAAAACAAUCCAGAUGUGGAGACACGAUUCCUUUCAGUUUCAUGAGAAUCUGUCGUCAGCAGGAGGAGAGACAACUUACUGAAAUUUUCAUUGUGGAAUAAUUCGACCCACAAAGACUUUGAGCGUCCACAGAGCACUUUUAAUCCUCCGAGUGUGAACGAGCUGUCAGACCGAGCAAUUCAAUGCAAACACUACCCUCCAAUGAGUCCCACGUCACUGUUUUGCAGAAAAUCUGUAAUUUGGGAGAAAAUACCCGAAAAAAUGUGUCAUUAUUGCCUCGUUAAACAUGGAAAAAAUUCAAGUAUUCCUGUAAUGUCCCGUCUUUGAGCACGCACAAAUACAAAAAAAUUAAUUAUCUGUAGAUUAUUGUCAGGGGUCCUAGGUCUGGGGACCCAGAGCUCAUGUGUCAUUUUUGGGUUUAAGGAAAAUUAUUAGUUUACUGGUCUUUCUGGAUCACUUAUGGCUGUUUGUUGGUGUGAUCUGCUAUUGGUCCCGCGUUUCCCUGUGCACGUGUGUGUGUGUGUGUGUGUGUGUGUGUGUGUGAUGUGGUGUGUGAGUUUUGCUGCCACACCAGGCCUGGAGAGUCACCUGCCUUUGAGUCAGACACACCUGAGGAUAAUCACUCACCUGUUGCUGAUCUGCCUAAUCAAGGAGUCCUACUUAAGAGAAGUGGAGUGGUAGUUGGUGUGGGAUCAUUACACUAACACAGUUACUGCUCCAGCUCAGAUGGCUGUGUUUUCAGUUGUUUCCUGUUGGAAUAGAAGCGUUUUUGUCGGUCGGUGGAUGGGGCUGUACUCACUGUGGAAUCUCUUGUUUCCAGGUGGAUUGCGGAAACGUGUGGAGGGAGCAGCACACUGUUGUACACAUGCACCAAGGAGGACAAAACAUCACCACGUAUCAAGGAGAAGAAUCGCAGCACGGGGACUGGGAAUCCACGCACUGUGGAUUGUUGGCACUGCUUCAUAGUUUCUUUUCAUUGUAAAUAAACACACUUUUUCCAUUCAGAAAAUUAUGCAUUUGGGUCGUCCUUCAAUCAUCCUUGACAAUUGUCUAAUCAAAGAUCAUUUCAUCUGAGCAGAUUUGCAAACCAACACACCUGUGCUCACACGGCAUAGUUGGUAACCUGACCCAAUUUUGGCCCUCGGUCUUAUGUUUCACAUCGCUGCUCUCAGACUAGCACAAUGUUUGAUGUAAAACCAAUUCAUCUAACUGAGGAUAUUAGUGUUGCAGAGUAUAGCGUGGUGGAAAUGAAUGGAGAGAAUCCUCCACUAAACUUUUGGAUUGGCAUUACUUUUGAUUUUUUUUUUUUUUUUAAUAUUAAUGGCAUGCUUUGGUGUUUUUAGUGUCUUGUGUGAGGUGUGGGCCACACCCAUGUGGGAGUGGAGAUUCUACUCUAGUCCAGCUGCCAGCUAUUUGGAGUUGAGUACAGGGAGCAGCUGAUUGGGAAGGAUUGGAGCCCUUCUCUAUUAAGGGGAGAGGAAGUAGGAAGGGGGGAGGUUGUUGUUUUGUUAGUAGGACCCUGUUGCAGCAGGGUAGGGCCUUGGAGACUCCAGGAUGAAGAGUGCACAUUUUAGAGCAAAGGAUUUUUAACCUCGCCUGGUUUUGCUUUUAAAAUAAUCUGGUGAUGCUGGAGGGAGGACUCGUUUUAAUUAGGAUUCGUGUGGAUCUGCUGGGAUAAAAACACUGGAUUGGAGGCUCUCUAUAACAAGCAGCCAAGAUAUGUUUUUGGCUGCUUGUUCUUCCGAGUGACCACCUUUUCCCUGUCUGUAAACAGGCUGGCAACCCUGACUGCAGUGGCUUUGGGCCUUGGAUUCCAGAGCGGAGUUGGGCCUUGAGCCAGUAGUUUGACUCAGAGGGAAAAAAAAUAAAUCUUGUGUACCCCGUGCAGUGUGAGUGUGGUGGUUUCUUACUGGUCAUUAUUAGAGCUUAACGCCUUCUUGUACGGAGGCCGUUUUGGGCCAUACGUAACAUUAGCAUAGUUUACUUUGUAGAGCCCAGUAGAUGCCCGAUGAAUCACAGAUAUCUA